AGCAGAUGGGCCUCCCCACUGUGGUAGGCAUCAUCCAAUCCAUUGAGGACAUGAACACAACAAAAAGCAGAGGAAGGGAGGAUUAGUUGGGACACUGGUCUUCUGCCCUUGGACUGGAUUUACACCAUCAGCUCCCCUAGUUCUCAGGCUUUCAGACUGGGACUACAAUUACACCAUCAUCAUCCCUGGAUUUCUAGCUUGCAGCUGGCAGAUUGAUGAAUUCAUGGGAUGAGGUAAAGAAGAAGAGUGUGGACGAGGUAUUGGAGUUUUCAAGGAAGGUGCCCAGGGAGGAAGAGAGCAUGUAUUAUGCUGAGUGAUUUCACACGGAAUUGUCACAAAAUUCCCUGGACGAAGGAAAUACUCGGUAUUGCUUUGUAUGACCAGCAAAUGGGUCUUAUUUACUGAAGGUUAGUGGAUGGAUAUGCUCACACAGCUGGUAAGAUGUGGCAAUUUGACACCAGACCCUACUCACUUGACCACUAUGGAAUACUCUUUCCCAAUUUUGGUGCGAUUUUAGGUUGACCUAGAGCCUCUGAGGCAAGUGAUUUAUCCGUGAACCCAAUGGCUUGGCGACGCUGGUGACCCUCUGCUCGGGCACUGGCCAUGGGGGACAGAAAAGAGGCUCCUGGGGAUGCCCCCUCUCUCGAGGAGCCAGAACAAAAGUGAGGGCAGAAGGA